GAGAGAGAGAGAGAGAGAGAGAGAGAGAGAGAGAGAGAGAGAGAGAGAGAUGAAAUGCAGCUGUUUUAAUGGCAGUGUUAAUCAUGACUGGUGCUAUAGGCUGAGGGAGCGGAGUGGCAAGGUGAAUGGGAUAUGAUGUUGUGCCUUGCCUCAGUACCUCAGCUUGGGAAAGGUUAUUUGAUUAGUGCUCCGCUACCUCCGCGCUAACCAGGUGUGCUGUUAUUGUUAUACUGUGUGCCUUAGUAUAGAGUGUUUCUACUUAUAAGGGAGAGCGGUCAGGGGGUAGAAAUAGUUUACAGAUAUAUGAAAGAAAGAUGAAUAGAAUUGUGUAGUUUAUAUGCUCGUAUUGGCAAAAGGAAGUGUGUGAUUUUUUGUAAAUGUGUUUUUUUUUUUUAAUACUAUAAAGGCUUUUCACGGGAAUUUAUGGGGUGAAGGAGGUACCUUUUGUGAUCCCUCCUAUCUCAGUGUCCACCCGCUAGGGAACCGUUGCCCCGAGUAAGGAAGCCCAACCUACACUCGGAUCGUGGACUGGAUUCGAACGUGUGCGCUUGGAGACCCCUCGGACCCCAAAGCACGCAUGGUUCCACUGUACCACGGCGGACCCAUAUUUGUCUAUUUGUUUUCCUAACACUUGUCUUGGUCUGUUUUAUUUUAUUUUAUUUAUUUAUUUAUUUAUUUGUUUAUUUCUAUGUGUAUCUUUUGAUGAGGAAUGUUCCGAGUGGUAUUCCUCAUGUGUAAUUUAGUGUAUUCGUGUUUGGGAGUUUAGCUGGAAAAAAUAAUUAAUAUCUUUAUAUGUUCAUAUAUACAUCAAUAUUGCUUUAGUUCAUUGAUCGAUUCAUUUUCUGCCUGUCAUUCAGUCUUCACUUACUUAUUUCGCGUAUGGAGAGAAUUAAGAGCAGCCAAAAAGAAAGGAAGAAAAUAUUCCUCAAAUCUUUCCAAAAAAUUAAAAUACAUAAGUAAAAAAAAAAAAAAAAAACUAGUAACAUUACUUUACAAACCUUCCAUAUGUUUACAAUGACAGAUACUUACAUUUAUUGAUAUAUUUACGUUUAUGCACAUUAAUCGUCUUCAUAAAGAGGACAAAACGGUGGGUGCCAGGUGGAGGAAGAGGAGGAAUAGGAGGAGGAGGAAGAGGAGGAGAGGGAUACAUGAAGUUAAGGUUGAUCGCGCCUCGCCAAGAGAUUGAAAGUUAGUCGGUCCGUGAUGGAGGUGAGAUGAGCGUUGGAGAGAGAGAGAGAGAGAGAGAGAGAGAGAGAGAGAGAGAGAGAGAGAGAGAGAGAGAGAGAGAGAGAGAGAGAGAGAGAGUCGAGUCAUUCACUCUAAGAGGCCAUUGUCCUUACGAGGAGGAAAGAAACAAAGAAAGACACUCGUUUUUACUUUUCCAUAUCAUCGUGUGUGUGUGUGUGUGUGUGUGUGUGUGUGUGUGUGUGUGUGUGUGUGUGUGUAAGGAAGAGUGUUUACGUUCAUAUAUUAUCGGAAUAUGAGAGAGAGAGAGAGAGAGAGAGAGAGAGAGAGAGAGAGAGAGAGAGAGAGAGAGAAUUGCCAAAAAGUGACAUUAAAUGAAAUAGUGAUAUAUGAUUAUAGUAAAUGGGAGGAAAUUAUGAACAACGAUUAAUGAUUGGGGAAAACUAGCUGCCACGCGCGUACACACACACACACACACACACACACACACACACACACACACACACACACACACACACACACACACACACACACACACACACACACACACACACACACACCGUAAAUUUCUAGUCAGGUGGUGGAGACAUGUUGCAUCAGAGAGAAGACCAGGAAGAAGAGGAGGAGGUGAGGGUGGAGGUGUGGAGGGGGUGAGUGGGAGAAUAUAAUAAUUUAUAGGACGCACCUGUACAACCUAUCAUUAUCUCCACUCACCUGUGCCCAAUGAAGUUGUUUAGUGUGCAGGUAACAUGGCUUAACUAGUAAAGAUUCGUAUGUGUGUGUGUUUGUUUUGAGUUAGAUCGCCAUGUUUUUUUUAUUCGCUACAAUUGGGAAUAUACGUGCAUUAAAGAUUCAAGUAACAUUAAAAGUUUAACAUGUUGUGUGUGUGUGUGUGUGUGUGUGUGUGUGUGUGUGUGUGUGUGUGUGUGUUUUAAUGGUUUUCCUUACCUGAAUUGAAAUAAAAACCUGAUUCAGACUUGAUUUUCUAUUUUGAUUAGUACGCAAUGUUAGUUCUAAAAUCAUGAGUAUGUACAUUUUCUAAGGCAAUAAAUUUGGUAAUCUCAGUAAAAAGGGAAAAAAAAACCUCGAAUGCAUGUCAAGUUAUAAAACUGUUAUGACUUUCAUUGAUUUGUCAUGAGAGACGGCUGGCGCUGGCUGUGUGUCGGAAGAAAAGGCGCAUGCACGUCAUUGUUAUGCUGAUGUCAUGUCUUUCUUUACACUCUUUUUUUUUUUUUUUUUUUUUUUAAUUGCCGUCAUGUUAAAUGUUAGCCAAGGAUUGCGUCACUGUUUCCUGCCUCACUCACUGCUUCAAAUGAGUGUUAUGGAUGUUGAUUUUAAAAUAUUCUGUAUGAUUUCAGUGUAAGUUCAAUAAAUAUAUAUCUACGUA